GGCCGUGUGGCAAAAUGGUUACUGCGUUGCUUUCCGAUGGUUUACAACAUUGUGUUGUGCGCCUCUUAGGCAGAGACUGUGGGUUCGAGUCCCACCAUGGUCG